rnacentral:rRNA from 1 species
CAGGCUUAACACAUGCAAGUCGAGGGGCAGCAUGGUCUUAGCUUGCUAAGGCCGAUGGCGACCGGCGCACGGGUGAGUAACACGUAUCCAACCUGCCGUCUACUCUUGGACAGCCUUCUGAAAGGAAGAUUAAUACAAGAUGGCAUCAUGAGUCCGCAUGUUCACAUGAUUAAAGGUAUUCCGGUAGACGAUGGGGAUGCGUUCCAUUAGAUAGUAGGCGGGGUAACGGCCCACCUAGUCUUCGAUGGAUAGGGGUUCUGAGAGGAAGGUCCCCCACAUUGGAACUGAGACACGGUCCAAACUCCUACGGGAGGCAGCAGUGAGGAAUAUUGGUCAAUGGGCGAGAGCCUGAACCAGCCAAGUAGCGUGAAGGAUGACUGCCCUAUGGGUUGUAAACUUCUUUUAUAAAGGAAUAAAGUCGGGUAUGGAUACCCGUUUGCAUGUACUUUAUGAAUAAGGAUCGGCUAACUCCGUGCCAGCAGCCGCGGUAAUACGGAGGAUCCGAGCGUUAUCCGGAUUUAUUGGGUUUAAAGGGAGCGUAGAUGGAUGUUUAAGUCAGUUGUGAAAGUUUGCGGCUCAACCGUAAAAUUGCAGUUGAUACUGGAUAUCUUGAGUGCAGUUGAGGCAGGCGGAAUUCGUGGUGUAGCGGUGAAAUGCUUAGAUAUCACGAAGAACUCCGAUUGCGAAGGCAGCCUGCUAAGCUGCAACUGACAUUGAGGCUCGAAAGUGUGGGUAUCAAACAGGAUUAGAUACCCUGGUAGUCCACACGGUAAACGAUGAAUACUCGCUGUUUGCGAUAUACUGCAAGCGGCCAAGCGAAAGCGUUAAGUAUUCCACCUGGGGAGUACGCCGGCAACGGUGAAACUCAAAGGAAUUGACGGGGGCCCGCACAAGCGGAGGAACAUGUGGUUUAAUUCGAUGAUACGCGAGGAACCUUACCCGGGCUUAAAUUGCAGAUGAAUUACGGUGAAAGCCGUAAGCCGCAAGGCAUCUGUGAAGGUGCUGCAUGGUUGUCGUCAGCUCGUGCCGUGAGGUGUCGGCUUAAGUGCCAUAACGAGCGCAACCCUUGUUGUCAGUUACUAACAGGUCAUGCUGAGGACUCUGACAAGACUGCCAUCGUAAGAUGUGAGGAAGGUGGGGAUGACGUCAAAUCAGCACGGCCCUUACGUCCGGGGCUACACACGUGUUACAAUGGGGGGUACAGAGGGCCGCUACCACGCGAGUGGAUGCCAAUCCCCAAAACCUCUCUCAGUUCGGACUGGAGUCUGCAACCCGACUCCACGAAGCUGGAUUCGCUAGUAAUCGCGCAUCAGCCACGGCGCGGUGAAUACGUUCCCGGGCCUUGUACACACCGCCCGUCAAGCCAUGGGAGCCGGGGGUACCUGAAGUGCGUAACCGCGAGGAGCGCCCUAGGGUAAAACUGGUGACUGGGGCUA